AGGGUCAUUGUCAUGCUGGAAAGUCCAUGAGCGUCCUAUGCACAGCCUUCGUGGAGAAGAAUGCAAAUUGUCUGCCAGUAUUUUCUGAUAACAUGCUGCAUUGAUCUCGCCAUCAAUUUUCACGAUUCCCCUUGCCUUUAGCCCCCCCCCCCACUCCCCUAAAUCAUCAGUGAGCCACCACCAUGCUACACAGUGGGGAUGCUAUUCUUUUCACCAUAGGUCUUGUUGUCCCCUCUCCAAACAUAGCGCUUGUGGUUGUGACAAUAAAACUCUAUUUUGAUCUCAUCACUCAGUGUGCCAGAAGCUGUUAGGCGUGUCAAGGUCUUGUCUGGCAUUUUGUAACUGGGCUUUUUUUGUGGCAUUGCCACAAAAAAGGCUUCUUUCUGGCAACUCAACCAUGUAGCUCAUUUUUGUUCAAGUAUUGUCGUAUCGUGCUCCUUGAAACAACCACUCUGUCCUUUUUCC